UACGGAGGGUGCAAGCGUUAUCCGGAUUCACUGGGUUUAAAGGGUGCGUAGGAGGGCAGGUAAGUCAGUGGUGAAAUCUCCAAGCUUAACUUGGAAACUGCCGUUGAUACUAUCUGUCUUGAAUACCGUGGAGGUGAGCGGAAUAUGUCAUGUAGCGGUGAAAUGCGCAGAUAUCGGGAGGAACACCAAUUGCGAAGGCAGCUCGCUGGGACGUCACUGACGCUGAGACGCGAAAGCGUGGGGAGCAAACAGG
rnacentral:rRNA from 1 species